CUCAAUGGUUGGAAUGUGGUAGAGAUUUAAUCAUAGCCUAAGAUUAAGUCUUGUAAUCCUGGUCAUUGAUCUUGUCUCUCUAAUCCGACUCUCUCUCUCUCUCUCUCUCCGUUGUACUCUCUUGCCCCUUUUGUGCUCUAGACAGUCUACUCCCUCUUUGUGCCCUUCUGCUCUUUAUUCUUUUUGCUCCAACAACCAUGGGUCAAACGCCGCCGUUCUUGGUCGUGCUUGCCCCAGUGGUUUUCCCUUCAACGGUUACCUUUGACUGCAGCUCCUAUUUAAUGCGGGGAGUGGAGUGACAGAAGAUAAGACCGAGAGAAAACCCUAGAUCUUCAAGCCUUUUCCCCUCUUCAGUGAGUUGGGUCAGUGGUGAGUGGGUGAGUUGUUGAGUGCCUCAUUUUCUUGGUCUUACCUCUGAAUUUAGGUGGGUUAGGUGACAGAGUGAUAGAUCUGUUCUCUCUGGUGCAAUCUUGGUGGUGUGUAAUAGUAAAGACCUUAAUGGAUCUCUGGUGUGAAUGAGUUUGGAAAACUGAGCUGUUAUUUAUUCCCUUUCAUAAUAAAUCUUUCAUAUUCUAUUUACUGUUGUUUAUUUUCGGUUAUAAUCUGUAUAAACAAUCUAUUUGCAUUUAUGAGAUUAUCCAUCAUUACUGCUGUAAGAAUCUUUGAGUGGAAACACAACAGUUGUAAUAGAGGUUAAAAUUUACUAAAAAAUCGUCAUGUAUUUACCACACGAG
rnacentral:lncRNA from 1 species